rnacentral:rRNA from 1 species
UACCUAUAAGACUGGGAUAACUUCGGGAAACCGGAGCUAAUACCGGAUAAUAUUUUGAACCGCAUGGUUCAAAAGUGAAAGACGGUCUUGCUGUCACUUAUAGAUGGAUCCGCGCUGCAUUAGCUAGUUGGUAAGGUAACGGCUUACCAAGGCAACGAUGCAUAGCCGACCUGAGAGGGUGAUCGGCCACACUGGAACUGAGACACGGUCCAGACUCCUACGGGAGGCAGCAGUAGGGAAUCUUCCGCAAUGGGCGAAAGCCUGACGGAGCAACGCCGCGUGAGUGAUGAAGGUCUUCGGAUCGUAAAACUCUGUUAUUAGGGAAGA